rnacentral:rRNA from 1 species
GCUACCGGACCUAGCGGCGGACGGGUGAGUAAUGCUUAGGAAUCUGCCUAUUAGUGGGGGACAACAUCUCGAAAGGGAUGCUAAUACCGCANACGUCCUACGGGAGAAAGCAGGGGAUCUUCGGACCUUGCGCUAAUAGAUGAGCCUAAGUCGGAUUAGCUAGUUGGUGGGGUAAAGGCCUACCAAGGCGACGAUCUGUAGCGGGUCUGAGAGGAUGAUCCGCCACACUGGGACUGAGACACGGCCCAGACUCCUACGGGAGGCAGCAGUGGGGAAUAUUGGACAAUGGGGGGAACCCUGAUCCAGCCAUGCCGCGUGUGUGAAGAAGGCCUUAUGGUUGUAAAGCACUUUAAGCGAGGAGGAGGCUACUCUAGUUAAUACCUAGGGAUAGUGGACGUUACUCGCAGAAUAAGCACCGGCUAACUCUGUGCCAGCAGCCGCGGUAAUACAGAGGGUGCGAGCGUUAAUCGGAUUUACUGGGCGUAAAGCGUGCGUAGGCGGCUUAUUAAGUCGGAUGUGAAAUCCCCGAGCUUAACUUGGGAAUUGCAUUCGAUACUGGUGAGCUAGAGUAUGGGAGAGGAUGGUAGAAUUCCAGGUGUAGCGGUGAAAUGCGUAGAGAUCUGGAGGAAUACCGAUGGCGAAGGCAGCCAUCUGGCCUAAUACUGACGCUGAGGUACGAAAGCAUGGGGAGCAAACAGGAUUAGAUACCCUGGUAGUCCAUGCCGUAAACGAUGUCUACUAGCCGUUGGGGCCUUUGAGGCUUUAGUGGCGCAGCUAACGCGAUAAGUAGACCGCCUGGGGAGUACGGUCGCAAGACUAAAACUCAAAUGAAUUGACGGGGGCCCGCACAAGCGGUGGAGCAUGUGGUUUAAUUCGAUGCAACGCGAAGAACCUUACCUGGCCUUGACAUACUAGAAACUUUCCAGAGAUGGAUUGGUGCCUUCGGGAAUCUAGAUACAGGUGCUGCAUGGCUGUCGUCAGCUCGUGUCCUGAGAUGUUGGGUUAAGUCCCGCAACGAGCGCAACCCUUUUCCUUACUUGCCAGCAUUUCGGAUGGGAACUUUAAGGAUACUGCCAGUGACAAACUGGAGGAAGGCGGGGACGACUUCAAGUCAUCAGGGCCCUUACGGCCAGGGCUACCNCCUUGCUACAAUGGUCGGGUACAAAGGGUUGC